rnacentral:rRNA from 1 species
UAGUGGCGAACGGGUGAGUAACACGUGGGCAAUCUGCCCUGCACUCUGGGACAAGCCCUGGAAACGGGGUCUAAUACCGGAUAACACUGUCCCCCUCCUGGGGGACGGUUGAAAGCUCCGGCGGUGCAGGAUGAGCCCGCGGCCUAUCAGCUUGUUGGUGGGGUAAUGGCCUACCAAGGCGACGACGGGUAGCCGGCCUGAGAGGGCGACCGGCCACACUGGGACUGAGACACGGCCCAGACUCCUACGGGAGGCAGCAGUGGGGAAUAUUGCACAAUGGGCGAAAGCCUGAUGCAGCGACGCCGCGUGAGGGAUGACGGCCUUCGGGUUGUAAACCUCUUUCAGCAGGGAAGAAGCGAAAGUGACGGUACCUGCAGAAGAAGCGCCGGNUAACUACGUGCCAGCAGCCGGGGUAAUACGUAGGGCGCAAGCGUUGUCCGNAAUUAUUGGNCGUAAAGAGCUCGUAGGCGGUCUGUCACGUCGGGUGUGAAACCCGGGGCUUAACCCCGGNUCUGCAUUCGAUACGGGCAGACUAGAGUGUGGNAGGGGAGAUCGGAAUUCCU